ACGCGAAGAACCUUACCUGGGUUUGACAUACACGGGAAGCCUGCAGAGAUGUGGGUCUCUUUGAUACUCGUGUACAGGUGGUGCAUGGCUGUCGUCAGCUCGUGUCGUGAGGUGUUGGGUUAAGUCCCGCAACGAGCGCAACCCUCGUUCCAUGUUGCCAGCAAGUAGUGUUGGGGACUCAUGGGAGACUGCCGGGGUCAACUCGGAGGAAGGUGGGGAUGACGUCAAGUCACCAUGCCCCUUAUGUCCAGGGCUUCACGCAUGCUACAAUGGCCGGUACAAAGGGCUGCGAUCCUGUGAGGGUGAGCGAAUCCCAAAGCCGGUCUCAGUUCGGAUUGGGGUCUGCAACUCGACCCCAUGAAGUCGG
rnacentral:rRNA from 1 species